GACGAACGCUGGCGGCGUGCCUAACACAUGCAAGUCGAACGGUGAAGCCCUUCGGGGUGGAUCAGUGGCGAACGGGUGAGUAACACGUGAGCAACCUGCCCCUGGCUCUGGGACAACCACUGGAAACGGUGGCUAAUACCGGAUACGACCCGCCUCGGCAUCGAGUGUGGGUGGAAAGUUUUUCGGCUGGGGAUGGGCUCGCGGCCUAUCAGCUUGUUGGUGAGGUGAAGGCUCACCAAGGCGACGACGGGUAGCCGGCCUGAGAGGGCGACCGGCCACACUGGGACUGAGACACGGCCCAGACUCCUACGGGAGGCAGCAGUGGGGAAUAUUGCACAAUGGGCGAAAGCCUGAUGCAGCGACGCCGCGUGAGGGAUGACGGCCUUCGGGUUGUAAACCUCUUUCAGCUCCGAAGAAGCGAAAGUGACGGUAGGAGCAGAAGAAGCACCGGCUAACUACGUG
rnacentral:rRNA from 1 species